CCUAAAUAAACAGCCUUUGACUCCCCAGCACAGGCUACCCGAGCUGGGGCCCUCUUCCAGCUCUGUAAGGGGAAGGAGUGGAGCUUGCUGACACCCCAGACUCAGGGUGGUGGUACUAACGUUCCCUGGGUUACAUGGGCCCCUUCUUCCCAAAUGCAAUACUCCCAGAAGCUCCGUUGCCCCUUCUGCAGCACUUUGUUGCCCAGAAGCCAGCUUCAACUCAUUUUCUUUUAUAAGAGAAAGUCCAGGGAAAUCAGAGUUUCCGUGAGAUUGACGUUUCAGACACAACCUUACCAGGAGCACACUACAGUAAAAAGGGAAACACAGUUUCUUUAAGCCUUUUCUCAGAAACACCUUUCUGCCAUCUCUCACUUCUCCUGUCUCAAAAACAAACCCUGUGUUGUUUUGGAAACAUGAAACAAAAAUGACUCAGACUGAGUCUGACUCAUACACAGUGGA